CCGGUAAACGGCGGCCGUAACUAUAACGGUCCUAAGGUAGCGAAAUUCCUUGUCGGGUAAGUUCCGACCUGCACGAAUGGCGUAAUGAUGGCCAGGCUGUCUCCACCCGAGACUCAGUGAAAUUGAACUCGCUGUGAAGAUGCAGUGUACCCGCGGCAAGACGGAAAGACCCCGUGAACCUUUACUAUAGCUUGACACUGAACAUUGAGCCUUGAUGUGUAGGAUAGGUGGGAGGCUUGGAAGUGUGGACGCCAGUCUGCAUGGAGCCGACCUUGAAAUACCACCCUUUAAUGUUUGAUGUUCUAACGUUGACCCGUAAUCCGGGUUGCGGACAGUGUCUGGUGGGUAGUUUGACUGGGGCGGUCUCCUCCUAAAGAGUAACGGAGGAGCACGAAGGUUGGCUAAUCCUGG
rnacentral:rRNA from 1 species